rnacentral:rRNA from 1 species
GACGAAGGAUGCAAGCGUUAUCCGGAUUCAUUGGGUUUAAAGGGCGCGUAGGCGGUUUGGUAAGUCAGUGGUGAAAUCUUUGGGCUUAACCCAGAAACUGCCAUUGAUACUGCUGAUCUAGAGUACAGUUGCCGUUGGCGGAAUAUGACAUGUAGUGGUGAAAUGCAUAGAUAUGACAUAGAACACCGAUUGCGAAGGCAGCUUACUAAACAGUUAUUGACGCUGAGGCACGAAAGCGUGGGGAUCAAACAGG